rnacentral:lncRNA from 1 species
AAACUGUGGCAGUUCCACCCAACAGAGCUUGUCCAAUGCCUUGAAAAGGAGGACAAUUUCCAUUACUAACCAAAGGUGCAGCAGGUGCAUCAGGCAUGGAUGGUGCUGCAUGCUCUUUAGGUGAAAAUUUCUUUCUGUUAUUUUUUUUCUUACCAUGAUUUUGAUCAUUUACACCUCUUUUUGUAGUUCUUUGCGUUCUCUUGUAUUCAGCCUCUUUCUCAUCAUCUGAAAACUCCAUUUCAUCAGAUAACUCUUCAUCAUUUGCACCCGAAGCAUCGUACCCUUUCCUAUAAAGAUCCUUGUUAUUAAGCACAUGCUCAGCAAAUUCUGGAACAAACGAGAUCAAGG